GAUGAACGCUGGCGGCGUGCCUAAUACAUGCAAGUCGAGCGAACAGACGAGGAUCUUGCUCCUCUGACGUUAGCGGCGGACGGGUGAGUAACACGUGGAUAACCUACCUAUAAGACUGGGAUAACUUCGGGACACCGGAGCUAAUACCGGAUAAUAUAUUGAACCGCAUGGUUCAAUAGUGAAAGACGGUUUUGCUGUCACUUAUAGAUGGAUCCGCGCCGCAUUAGCUAGUUGGUAAGGUAACGGCUUACCAAGGCAACGAUGCGUAGCCGACCUGAGAGGGUGAUCGGCCACACUGGAACUGAGACACGGUCCAGACUCCUACGGGAGGCAGCAGUAGGGAAUCUUCCGCAAUGGGCGAAAGCCUGACGGAGCAACGCCGCGUGAGUGAUGAAGGUCUUCGGAUCGUAAAACUCUGUUAUUAGGGAAGAACAAAUGUGUAAGUAACUAUGCACGUCUUGACGGUACCUAAUCAGAAAGCCACGGCUAACUACGUG
rnacentral:rRNA from 1 species